rnacentral:rRNA from 1 species
CUACGGGAAGCAGCAGUGGGGAAUAUUGGACAAUGGGGGCAACCCUGAUCCAGCAAUGCCGCGUGAGUGAMGAAGGCCUUAGGGUUGUAAAGCUCUUUCGCCCGKGACGAUGAUGACGGUAMCGGGAGAAGAAGCCCCGGCUAAUUCCGUGCCAGCAGCCGCGGUAAUACGGAAGGGGCUAGCGUUGUUCGGAUUUUACUGGGCGUAAAAGCGGCAUGUAGGCGGCCGGMUCAAGUGRGGCGUGAAAGSCCYGGGCUCAACCYGGGAACSGCGCUUCAGACKGGKYKGCUCGAGUYCGGGAGAGGGUGGUGGAAUUCCCAGUGUAGAGGUGAAAUUCGUAGAUAUUGGGARGAACACCGGUGGCGAAGGCGGCCACCUGGCCCGRKACUGACGCUMRAGYGCGAAAGCGUGGGGAGCAAACAGGAUUAGAUACCCUGGUAGUCCACGCYGUAAACGAUGRGUGCUAGAUGUCGGGGGGCUUGCYCUUCGGUGUCGCMGCUAACGC